rnacentral:lncRNA from 1 species
GGAUGUGCGCGGAGGCGAUCGUGGCCGGGUCGGCGAACGGGACGCGGCUGGUGGACGAGAGCGACCUGCGCAAGUACCUGGCGGAGUUCGACCGGCUCUACUGGCCGACGUACAAGGUGCUGGACAUCCUGCAGAAGGUGUUCUACCGCUCCAACGCGGCGCGGGAGGCGUUCGUGGAGAUGUGCGCCGACGACUACGUGCAGCGGAUGACCUUCGACAGCUACCUCUACAAGCGCGUCGUGCCGGGCAACCCCAUCGAGGACAUCAAGCUCGCCGUCAACACCAUCGGCAGCCUCGUCAGGGCCACCGCGCUGCGCCGGGAGAUGGGGAAGCUCACCUUGUGAUCACCGACACACCGGAAACGUCCCUGACAUCCUGCUUGGGUUGCUCGAAGCUGCGGCGGAUCGAUCGGUAUAGCAGAGAUCCGCGGCCGAUCGAACGGAUUUGAGGCAGAGGAGAU